rnacentral:hammerhead_ribozyme from 1 species
GUGCUGUCGAGGAAUCCCACAACAGGACGAAAUGGCCGUCCAGUAC